GACGAACGCUGGCGGCGUGCUUAACACAUGCAAGUCGAGCGAGGCCCUUCCUUCGGGAAGGUGUCCUAGCGGCGAACGGGUGAGUAACACGUGGGCAACCUGCCCUCAGCUCUGGGAUAACCCCGGGAACGGGCUAAUACCGGAUACGACCUCCACGGGCAUCUGCGGAGGUGGAAAGGUCUUCCGGCUGAGGAUGGGCCCGCGGCCUAUCAGCUAGUUGGUGGGGUGACGGCCCACCAAGGCGACGACGGGUAGCCGGCCUGAGAGGGCGACCGGCCACACUGGGACUGAGACACGGCCCAGACUCCUACGGGAGGCAGCAGUGGGGAAUAUUGCGCAAGU
rnacentral:rRNA from 1 species